GUCAUACCUGGUAUUUCACAAUUACUUCCCUUGUUACCAAUUUUGCCAUGAAACCUACACAACCAAUAAAUCAGCGGUUGCUGAAAAUGUCAACUGCUGUGUCGCAGUGUUCAGAGAAGGGAGCAGUGUAUGGAAAGUGUGUUGCCAUGACCAAGUCCCCAACACAAAAUCAGUGUGGAAAAGAAUUUGAAGACUUCAUUCUAUGUGUGAAAACUGCUGCAAAAAGGCUGAAGUAACCCAAAAACUUGAUUGGCUUUCUGGAGCAAUAUAGAUACUUGCCAAGCAGAUUGCAAGAAAGCAACACUUCCAGAUACGAAAAUCUAUCUCAGCUGUAGCAUAAUGAUACAUGCCUUAUAUAUUAUAUAAGAGGAUGUAACUAUGUUUUAAAAAAUUGUUAAUAUUGAAAUAAAACAAUGAAAGACUA